rnacentral:rRNA from 1 species
GACGAACGCUGGCGGCGCGCUUAACACAUGCAAGUCGAACGGAAAGGCCUGCUUUCCCUUGUGGAUUGCGGGUACUCGAGUGGCGAACGGGUGAGUAACACGUGAGUGAUCUGCCCCCAACUUGGGUAUAAGCCUGGGAAACUGGGUCUAAUUCCCGAUAGGACUGCAGGGUGGCGCCUGUGGUGGAAAACGAUUUUCUAGUGGUUGGGGAUGAGCUCGCGGCCUAUCAGCUUGUUGGUGGGAUAAUGGCCUACCAAGGCGGCGACGGGUAGCCGGCCUGAGAGGGUGGACGGCCACAUUGGGACUGAGAUACGGCCCAGACUCCUACGGGAGGUAGCAGUGGGGAAUAGUGCACAAUGGGCGGAAGCCUGAUGCAGCGACGCCGCGUGGGGGAUGACGGCCUUCGGGUUGUAAACUCCUUUCGACCGCGAGGAAGCCACCUGGUUGGAAGGGUGGUGACGGUAGUGGUAGAAGAAGCACCGGCUAACUACGUG